rnacentral:siRNA from 1 species
UGGGCUAGACCUUAGUGACGA